UUUUUUUUUUUUUAAUUGAAAGGUGGACGUUGUGUGUGACAGGUGGUGGAGGGUCUGGUUGAUGGCCUCUUCUCCCACAGAGAACUUCACUUCCUUCUCCAGACAGAGUCCCUUCCAGGGUCCCAACGGUAAGCCAGAUCAGAGCAGGCUGAAGAGUGAGCCCAAUGGCAGCAAAGACAGCCUUUGUAAGAAGUGUGCCCGGAAGGGAAGAGAGCGCCAGGAAGGUGAUGUGGGGGCUCGGGAGAGCAGGGAGGUGAGAGACACCAGCACGCAUAUGUGGGCAUAUGUGGGCGGAUGGGAAGGAGGCUCCACCAUGGGAUGUGUGGGCAGCCCCGGGAGAACCGGGGUGGGGAGCUGGGGCAGGAGUGCGGGGCCCCGAGCCUGGGGAGGCGGGCUUUGGCCAGGAUGGGGUACCAACCGCCUCAUAGGGUGAGGGGAGGAAACGCUAGCUCGGGCCUGCCAGGUGUAUGGGACUUGGGCUGGGUCGCCGCCUGCAUUUGUGUGCGUCUCCAGGCGGCUCUUUCCCGGACUGGCUGAGCCACUCCAGUCCCUCACCCAGGCCCCCUUUCCAGCCUGAUGGAAAGAGGAGCCCAGAGAGGAGCCCAACCACUUUCCCUCUGGAAUCUGCUGCCUCGGCUUUCGGAUGGAGAAACCAUCUGGAGUGUAUUACGGGCGGUGGAGAAAGCCGAGAGCAGGAAAAUAUGAAACGGAGGUCCAGAGAGGGAUAGUAACUUCCCCCAGGAUCACACAGCAAGUCAGGGGGAACCAGAUCAGAGGGGUGAGGGCCCUCUAGGCUCUUCCGGGGGGGGGGGGGGGGGGGGGGGGCGGGGCAGGAGCCCCUCCCCUGCACAGCCCCAGCUCCAGACGUGGCAGGGCCAGCAGGAGUGAGGUUUCUCUGCUCCCUCCCAAGUGCCCUGCUGGCGGCUCCCGAAAUAAAAAUCAAAUGUGGGCUUGGCAGAGCGAGCGGGGUGUGGGAGAGCAACCGGCAGCGAGUGGCGGCAACGCUGGGUUUCAUUCUUUCCAUUGUAACUUCACCUCCUAACCUCUGGCAUUUUAAUUAUUCUCCUACCCGCUUGCUGCUGCUGCUGCUGCUGCUGUUGGGGCCAGAGGGUGAGCUCACCCUUUCCUCCGGCCAGGGAGGGGGCGGCCGCUGCCGGGACCCCCAGCCUCCAGCCUGC